UACGGAGGGUGCGAGCGUUAAUCGGAAUUACUGGGCGUAAAGCGUGCGCAGGCGGUUUGUUAAGCGAGAUGUGAAAGCCCCGGGCUCAACCUGGGAACCGCAUUUCGAACUGGCAAACUAGAGUCUUGUAGAGGGGGGUAGAAUUCCAGGUGUAGCGGUGAAAUGCGUAGAGAUCUGGAGGAAUACCGGUGGCGAAGGCGGCCCCCUGGUCAGAAACUGACGCUGAGGUACGAAAGCGUGGGGAGCAAACAGG
rnacentral:rRNA from 1 species